rnacentral:rRNA from 1 species
UACGGAGGAUGCAAGCGUUAUCCGGAAUGAUUGGGCGUAAAGCGUCCGCAGGUGGCUGUGUAAGUCUGCUGUUAAAGAGUGAGGCUCAACCUCAUAAAAGCAGUGGAAACUACACAGCUAGAGUGCGUUCGGGGCAGAGGGAAUUCCUGGUGUAGCGGUGAAAUGCAUAGAGAUCAGGAAGAACACCGGUGGCGAAGGCGCUCUGCUAGGCCGCAACUGACACUGAGGGACGAAAGCUAGGGGAGCGAAUGGG